ACGCUCGACACCUACGGGAGGAGCAGUGGGGGANAUUGCACAAUGGAGGAAACUCUGAUGCAGCGACGCCGCGUGAGGGAAGAAGGUUUUCGGAUUGUAAACCUCUGUCUUCGGUGACGAAAAUGACGGUAGCCGAGGAGGAAGCCACGGCUAACUACGUGCCAGUAGCCGCGGUAAUCUGAGCGGGCUGGCAAGGC
rnacentral:rRNA from 1 species